UACAGAGGCCCCGAGCGUUAGGCGGAAUCACUGGGCUUAAAGCGUGUGUAGGUGGAUGCCUAAGUACCUUGUGAAAUCCCACGGCUUAACCGUGGAAUUGCUGGGUAUACUGGGUGUCUUGAGCCACUCAGGGGCUACCGGAACAAAUGGUGGAGCGGUGAAAUGCGUAGAUAUCAUUUGGAACGCCAAUGGUGAAAACAGGUAGCUGGGGGUGUGCUGACACUGAGACACGAAAGCCAGGGGAGCGAACGGG
rnacentral:rRNA from 1 species